rnacentral:rRNA from 1 species
CUGGAAUGGUUCAUGGCCGAAAUCUAUAUGGCCUUUGGAUUGGACUGCGGCCGAUCAGGCUGUUGGUGAGGUAAUGGCCCACCAAACCUGUUACCGGUACGGGCUCUGAGAGGAGGAGCCCGGAGAUGGGCACUGAGACAAGGGCCCAGGCCCUAUGGGGCGCAGCAGGCGCGAAACCUCUGCAAUAGGCGAAAGCUUGACAGGGUUACUCUGAGUGAUUUCCGUUAAGGAGAUCUUUUGACACCUCUAAAAAUGGUGUAGAAUAAGGGGUGGGCAAGUCUGGUGUCAGCCGCCGCGGUAAUACCAGCACCCCGAGUGGUCGGGACGAUUAUUGGGCCUAAAGCAUCCGUAGCCGGUUCUGCAAGUCCCCCGUUAAAUCCAGCUGCUCAACAGAUGGGCCGCGGAGGAUACUACAGAGCUAGGAGGCAGGAGAGGCAAGCGGUACUCAGUGGGUAGGGGUAAAAUCCGUUGAUCCAUUGAAGACCACCAGUGGCGAAGGCGGCUUGCCAGAAUGCGCUCGACGGUGAGGGAUGAAAGCUGGGGGUGCAAACCGGAUUAGAUACCCGGGUAGUCCCAGCCGUAAACGAUGCAGACUCGGUGAUGGGUUGGCUUCGCGCUAACCCAGUGCCGCAGGGAAGCCGUUAAGUCUGCCGCCUGGGUAGUACGGUCGCAAGACUGAAACUUAAAGGAAUUGGCGGGGGAGCACCACAAGGGGUGAAGCCUGCGGUUCAAUUGGACUCAACGCCGGU